GGGAGCUUGCUCCUAUUUCUCAGCGGCGGACGGGUGAGUAACACGUGGGCAACCUGCCCUGCAGACUGGGAUAACUCCGGGAAACCGGAGCUAAUACCGGGUAAUACAUAGCAUCGCAUGAUGCAACGUUGAAAGUUGGCUUUCGAGCUAACACUGUAGGAUGGGCCCGCGGCGCAUUAGCUAGUUGGUAAGGUAAUGGCUUACCAAGGCAACGAUGCGUAGCCGACCUGAGAGGGUGAUCGGCCACACUGGGACUGAGACACGGCCCAGACUCCUACGGGAGGCAGCAGUAGGGAAUCUUCCGCAAUGGACGAAAGUCUGACGGAGCAACGCCGCGUGAGUGACGAAGGCCUUCGGGUCGUAAAGCUCUGUUGUUAGGGAAGAACAAGUACCGUUCGAAUAGGGCGGUACCUUGACGGUACCUAACCAGAAAGCCACGGCUAACUACGUGCCAGCAGCCGCGGUAAUACGUAGGUGGCAAGCGUUGUCCGGAAUUAUUGGGCGUAAAGCGCGCGCAGGCGGUCUCUUAAGUCUGAUGUGAAAGCCCACGGCUCAACCGUGGAGGGCCAUUGGAAACUGGGGGACUUGAGUGCAGAAGAGGAGAGUGGAAUUCCACGUGUAGCGGUGAAAUGCGUAGAUAUGUGGAGGAACACCAGUGGCGAAGGCGGCUCUCUGGUCUGUAACUGACGCUGAGGCGCGAAAGCGUGGGGAGCGAACAGGAUUAGAUACCCUGGUAGUCCACGCCGUAAACGAUGAGUGCUAGGUGUUGGGGGGUUCCACCCUCAGUGCUGAAGUUAACACAUUAAGCACUCCGCCUGGGGAGUACGACCGCAAGGUUGAAACUCAAAGGAAUUGACGGGGGCCCGCACAAGCAGUGGAGCAUGUGGUUUAAUUCGAAGCAACGCGAAAAAACCUUACCAGGUCUUGACAUCCUCUGCCACUCCUAGA
rnacentral:rRNA from 1 species